GGGUUGUGAGGUUAAGCGACUAAGCGUACACGGUGGAUGCCCUGGCAGUCAGAGGCGAUGAAGGGCGUGCUAAUCUGCGAUAAGCGCCGGUAAGGUGAUAUGAACCGUUAUAACCGGCGAUACCCGAAUGGGGAAACCCAGUGUGAUUCGUCACACUAUCAUUAACUGAAUCCAUAGGUUAAUGAGGCGAACCGGGGGAACUGAAACAUCUAAGUACCCCGAGGAAAAGAAAUCAACCGAGAUUCCCCCAGUAGCGGCGAGCGAACGGGGAGGAGCCCAGAGCCUGAAUCAGCAUGUG
rnacentral:rRNA from 1 species